GACAGAGGGUGCAAGCGUUAAUCGGAAUUAUUGGGCGUAAAGCGCGCGUAGGUGGAUUGAUAAGUUGGAUGUGAAAGCCCUGGGCUUAACCUGGGAACUGCAUUCAAAACUGUUAGUCUAGAGUAUAGUAGAGGGAAGUGGAAUUUCCGGUGUAGCGGUGAAAUGCGUAGAUAUCGGAAAGAACAUCAGUGGCGAAGGCGACUUCCUGGACUAAUACUGACACUGAGGUGCGAAAGCGUGGGGAGCAAACAGG
rnacentral:rRNA from 1 species